UGACAGCUCCAGCCAAGUUUC
rnacentral:piRNA from 1 species